GUAAGGUUCAUUUCCGUCUUGCUGCUUUCAAGAGUUUUCUUUGCCUUUACUUUUUUUAAAAAAAUGUUUUAAAUUUUAUAGAAACAGGGUCUCACUGUUAUCCAGACUGGUCUUGAACUCCUGGACUCAAAUGAUCCUCUUGCCUCAGCCUUCCAAAUUACUGGGAUUACAGACAUGAGCCAUCAUGCCCGGCCUGCCUUUAAUAUUUAGAAAUUUGGCUUUAAUAUAUCUUGGUAUUUCUUGAGUUUAUCCUGUUUUGAUGUGUUAUCUUGUUCACUCAGCUUAUUGAAUCUGUAGGCUAAUGGGGCUCUUUUUUGCCAAAUUUGGGGAGUUUUAAGCCAUUACUUUUUUCUAUUUUUUUUUUUUCUUUUUGAGAUGGUGCCUUGCUCUGCCACCCAGACUGGAGUGCGAUGGCGCGAUCUCGGCUCACUGCAACCCCUGCCUCCUGGAUUCAAGCGAUUCUCCAGCCUCAGCUUCCUGAACAACUGGGACUACAGGCACCUGCCACCACACCUGGCUAAUUUUUGCAUUUUUAUUAGAGACGGGGUUUCACCAUGUUGGCUAGGCUGGUCUCAAACUCCUGACCUCAAAUGAUCCACCCACCUCAGCCUCCCAAAGUGCUGGGAUUAUAGGCGUGAGCCACUGCGCUCCGCCAGCCAUUACUUUUUGAGUACUUUUUUUAGCUGUGCCCUCUUUCUCAUUUCUUCCAGGAUUCUGAUGACAUGAAUUUUAGAUCUUUUCAUCUAGUUCCACAGGUCCCUGUGGCUUUUUUCAUUUUCUUCAAACUGUUUUCUCUCUGUUUCUCAGAUUGGGUGAUUUUUAAUUAUUCUAUUUUCAGGUUCACUUGUUCUUUCCUCUGUCCCCUCCAUUCUACUGUUUAGUCCAUUUACUGAGGUUUUUUUACUUCGGUUAUUAUGUUUUUCAGGUUUAAACAUUCCAUUUAGCUCUUCUUUAUAUUUUCUGUUUCUUUACUAAUACUUUCUAUUUUUUUUGCUUUGUUUCAAAUGUGUUCUUAAUUAUUUGUUGAAGCAUCUCUCUGAUGGCUGCUUUAAAAUCUUUGUCAGAUAAUGUUAACAUCUGGUAUCUUUGUAUUGUUGAUUGUCUUUUUAAAAUCAGUUUGAGAUUUUUCUGAUUCUUGGUAACAUGAGUGAUUUUCAGUUGAUACCUAGAUAUCUCAUAUUAUUUUAUAGGCUCUGGAUCUUAUUUAAGUCUUCAGUCUUAGCUGGUUUUCUCUGAAACUGCUCCUACAGAGGAAGGGUGGGGGACUGUUACUUCUUUAUUGCCAAGUGGUGGUAGAAGUCCAGCUUCUCCACUUGGCCUCCAUUGACACUUCAAGGAGUGGGUGUUUCUCAUUACUGCUGGUCAGGGGUGGGCGUUCUGCCUCCCCACAUGGUUUCUGCUGAUAUCAUGGUGGGGAUAGGCUUGUUACUACUACGUAAUGGUGAAAGUCCUGCCUCUUUACUAGGUCUCUACUCUAGUGGAAAGGGAGAAGGACAUCUCGUUGCUUCUAGGUGAAGAGUAGGUUUCCGAUGUAGUCUCCACUGACACAGGUUGACACUGAGGAGGUGGGGGUGGGACCCAGGGACAUGGGUACAGGCCUGCAAGGAUAAAAGUCCCUGAUCUCUACAUGGCCUCCUCUGACACCACCCAGUAGAGGUGCCGGGGGGCCUUGUUACAGCUUCGCCUUCAAAAGCGUGAAAGUCUCAGCUUCUCCCUCAACCUUUGCUGGUGUGAGUGGGACCAGUUUUUUUCUGUAGCGUUUGAUUGGCGCGGAACUGUUAUUGUCUUCAAAGUUUUCUGUCUUGCUGGGCUGUCCCUUUCCUAGUCCUUUGUCUAGUGAGAGCAGGCUUUUUUUCAGGCUCCUCUUUCUCCUUCUUAUUCUUCUCCUCCCGUCUGAACCCAUUGGCAUUUCUAGGUUGCUGCUCCAAGCCUUGGAUAUAUGACACCGUAAUAAAAUCGAGAGAAUGCACCACCAUGUUUUCCUCAGCCCAGGUAUUGACUGCUGCCUCAUGAAGGCUGGUCCUGUCUCUAUAGUGAAUAUUGUGCACCUCAGGGUAGAAUGGAGAGCAGAAGACUUCAAAUCAGGCAGUCUGGGUUCAGACCCCAAUUCUAGUGCUAAAUAGCUACGUGACUUUAGGCCGAUUGUGUGUGACUUCCCUGAGCCCCAGUCUCUUUGCCUGCAAAAUGAGAAAAAUUAUAACAAUGUCAUCGGUUGUUCUGAGGAUUCUGAGAGGAAUUAGUAGGAGAGAGAACUAAGAAGCUGCGGGCCUCUACAGAGCCAUUCAACUGGCAUUUCGGAAGAUGUUGCCCAUCAGAGUCAGACCUUCUUAGCAUCUUCCGGCUGGGCCCAAACUUCCCAAGACCAUUUGGACAAGGUCAUCUCUAUCCCACCAUGGCCUCCUCCCAGAGGAGGAGAAGAAUCAUGCUGUUACAGCAGAACCGAAGAUUUGGGCAAGGGAGCUAAUGAUUAUGUUCUGCGUCAGGUCAGAGAUGGGCUGGGAAAGCCACUCCAAAGCCAAGACAAGCAGUUUCCUGGAAAAAGAAGGCUGCGCGGAGCCCAGAGUGGCCUGGAUCCUGCCUCAUUUCCUGGACCAGCUCCUUAGGUGGUUACUGGAUUGCCAAUAAAGCAGAGCUUAUUAAAGUCAACGAGCUCAGGCUUCAUCGCCGCCAUGGUAUCCAAGCACCAGUCUGUCUGGGAUUUCAUUUGCCAGAUGGACAAAGGAGAGGUUGUUCCAAUACAUAUCCUGAGUGGUGGGGGUGGGGAGAGAAGGGGAAGAAUGCUCUCUAGAGAAUUCUCUUUGUCCUCUGAAGUAAAUAGAGAUCAUGUCUUCCCCAGCCACACUCAGUGAUCUGAAUCUCUUGGACUGUGGAUUUUUCCUUUACCUGCUGUGAAGCCUUGAAAAGUAUGAAUUAGCUUGAUAAUGAUCCUCUAAAGAUGUUCAAGAGUUAAAGACGUGUUUAAGUUCUUCAGGCAAUCCAAUAUGACUACGGGUUUCCAAAAAUUUGAAGGAAACUGAAAAUCAUAGUUCCCAAACCAGAUAUUUUCCGGUGUCCAGAUGUUCACUGGCAUGCAAACCAAAUGUCUGGAUUAUGAGCUCCUUUUUUCAUUUCUUUUUAUCAGCUUACAUCCAGAUGUUGGAUCCAACUGGUCAGAGGCCUGGGGCAGAGACAGAAAUCAAAUCUAGGGUGUUCAUCUAGAGUCUCCUGCUCCUCCAUUCCUGCUUCCUCCUCACGCUGCCCCCACAUCCUCCCCAACUCACCUUCAUGCUACAUCUCGGCAAAUACAGCUCAUAUCCAGGCACGGUGCAGCCCUUGACAGCUGGGUCCGCAAAGGCAGAUCGGGUAUAUCUUUAAAGAAAAGUUAUCUUAACCAUUGAGAAGCCUUCCUUCCUCAGAGGAGAGCACCUCCCCAGCAGACCUCCGAGGAGACCAAGGGCAGGACAGGAAGGGUGAAAGGAAGUUUCAGGACUGCAGGAAAUAAGAGCUUGGAGGUCAAGGGAGAGAUCAGAUAAAACAUGAAUCUGAUCAGCAUCCUAGUGGUCUAGAGUGGAGACAAUCUGCGGAGUCAACCUCAGUAAGGACACACAUAGAGAAGAACCAAAGCCUCUAAAGACGAAGCUGAGAAGUGUACGGUCGUAGAAGACUCGUGUCUGUUAUUCUUAAAAGCUCAAGGAGAUGUUCUGCCAAUUGAAUGGAAACUGUCCAUAGUGGGGAGCAGAGAGCCUCAUCUUUUCUGGAACUGAACAUCCAUCCUUAAGGCCAGAUUUCUCCCAUCACCAACUUUAACUCCUGCCCUAGCCCUCUCUCUUCCUUUUCAAAACCCUCUCCACCCAGGAAGGGAGAUUCUGGAGCCAAGACUGUACCAGCCACACCUCCCCAGAGUUGUUAAGGAAGGAACUCGAAGCCAGGGGUGGUCUUCUGGCAAGCACCCCCACUACCAGUAGCAGGACAGAUGUGUUUCUAAUGGACUACACUAUCCCCGGAGGUCACAUGAUUCAGGCUGCCAAGGGUACCUGCCCUUGGGAAAUCAACUCCCGAAGAUAAAUUGGGAUUGGGUCCUGAGAAGAUCCAUGGAAGCCCAGAGGACCCUGCCUCUCUCUGUUGCUUCAUGCUGUAGAGGCAGUACUGGGGAGGGCCUGCCCCACAUCCGGCAGGGCAGCUGGAACCAUGUGUUUGAUGACACUCUGCUCCCUCAAUGUGGAGCCUCAUCCUCAUCUCACAGUCUAGCAGGCCUCUGGUGGGUUAGGCUUGUCUCACCCAGUGUGUGAGUUUUUUUGGAAGUGACCUGAUUUUGGAGUUUCCCUCCAAGCCUUUCUCAGGUACAUGCUUUCUCUUUUAUUCUGUCUUCUUUUUUUGAUCUUCUUAAAUCUGAUUUUCUCCUUUUUCCCUCUCUUGUCUCCAUCUUUUUUCCAGUCUCUCGCUUCUCUUUAUUUCUCCCCAUAUUUCACUCUGUUCUCUCACCCCAACCUUUCCCUUCUGUUUCUCUCCCUCCCUCUCUUCCCACCCCCUGCCUGGCCUUCCAUAUAUCAAGCAGAGUUUUAUCACCUUAUGCAGGGGCAGCCCUGCCACCUGCCAUAAAGUUGAUAGGCUAAUGACAUUUUGUGGAUAUUGCCAUGUCACAAGUCCAGGACAGCAUCAAAAAUAGCCCUGAUGUCUAAACCACUUCAGCUAUCUUUUUUAUUUUUAAAAUAAAUACAUUCACAUGCUUUUAAGAAACUAUAAAAAUAUAUAAAGUAAAAAGAUCUUUCUCUCACACUGUCUCCACCUCUCCUGGUCUCACCGUUGUGCUUAGGGGAAACCAUUGUGAUUAGUUUCUCCUGUGUCCUUCCAGAGUGUCUUUAUGCAAAUGAAAAUUAUUGUGAUAAUAUAUUCCUAUUUUCCCCCUUACUACACAAAAGAUAGACUACCAUAAUCCCAUUCUGCACUUUUUUUUCACUUGAUAAUAAAAACAUGAUUUUAUUAA
rnacentral:lncRNA from 1 species